rnacentral:rRNA from 1 species
GACGAACGCUGGCGGCGUGCUUAACACAUGCAAGUCGAACGGAAAGGCCCUGCUUUUGUGGGGUGCUCGAGUGGCGAACGGGUGAGUAACACGUGAGUAACCUGCCCUUGACUUUGGGAUAACUUCAGGAAACUGGGGCGAAUAUCGGAUAGGAGCUCCUGCUGCAUGUUGGGGGUUGGAAAGUGUCGGCGGUGGGGGAUGGACUCGCAGCUUAUCAGCUUGUUGGUCGGGUAGUGGCUUACCAAGGCUUUGACGGGUAGCCUGCCUGAGAGGGUGACCGGCCACAUUGGGACUGAGAUACGGACCAGACUCCUACGGGCGGCAGCAGUGGGGAAUAUUGCACAAUGGGCGGAAGCCUGAUGCAGCAACGCCGCGUGCGGGAUACCGGCCUUCGGGUUGUAAACCGCUUUCGCCUGUGACGAAGCGUGAGUGACGGUAAUGGGUAAAGAAGCACCGGCUAACUACGUG